CUUGAACGCUGGCGGCAGGCCUAACACAUGCAAGUCGAACGGAGUGGCGAACGGGUGAGUAACACGUUGGUGACCUGCCCUGCACUUCGGGAUAAGCCUGGGAAACUGAGUCUAAUCCCGGAUAGUGGGGAAUGUGCCCGCGGCCUAUCAGCUUGUGGGUGGGGUAAUGGCCUACCAAGGCGGCGACGGUUAGCCGGCCUGAGCGGGUGGACGGCCAAAGUGGGACUGAGACACGGCCCAGACUCGUACGGGAGGCAGCAGUGGGGAAUAUGGCUCAAUGGGCGGAAGCCUGAUGCAGCGACGCCGCGGGGGGGAUGACGGCCGUCGGGUUGUAAACUCCUUUCACCAUCGACGCGGUAGAUGGAGAAGAAGCACCGGCUAACUACGUGCCAGCAGCCGCGGUAAUUC
rnacentral:rRNA from 1 species